CAACCUGAGAGUUUGAUUCUGGCUCAGAACGAACGCUGGCGGCAGGCUUAACACAUGCAAGUCGAGCGCCCUCUUCGGAGGGAGCGGCAGACGGGUGAGUAACGCGUGGGAACAUACCUUUCGGUUCGGAAUAGCCCCGGGAAACUGGGUGUAAUACCGAAUACGUCCUUAGGGAGAAAGAUUUAUCGCCGAAAGAUUGGCCCGCGUUAGAUUAGAUAGUUGGU
rnacentral:rRNA from 1 species